rnacentral:rRNA from 1 species
UACGUAGGGUGCGAGCGUUAAUCGGAAUUACUGGGCGUAAAGCGUGCGCAGGCGGCGCGUUAAGACAGGUGUGAAAGCCCCCGAGCUUAACUUGGGAAUUGCGCUUGUGACUGGCGUGCUGGAGUGUGGCAGAGGGAGGUGGAAUUCCACGUGUAGCAGUGAAAUGCGUAGAGAUGCGGAGGAACACCGAUGGCGAAGGCGGCCAUCUGGACCGCAACUGACGCUGAGGCGCGAAAGCGUGGGGAGCAAACAGG